GAGGCUAGGCAAUGUCUACUACGAAAAGAGAAAUAAAUAGCUCCACCAUUGGAAACAAGUGUCCAGAAAGCUGCAAGUUUAUCCUGUACUAGAGCCAAUGAACAACCAGGUGCUGAUCACAUCCCCGGGGAAGCGGGGAGGGCGAUGCAGGCACAGAUGGGGUCCUGUUGUAGGAGAGAGACCGGAGGGCAGGAAGGGAGGAAAAUCUGAAUCCAUAAGCUUUCGCUUUAUGCAAACCAGACUCAUAAGUUUUCUUUAUUUCAGCUGGAACUCACAGCACAGCUGCUUUAUUUACUUACCUACUGGCUGCAUUUCUGAGAACCAGUUUUAUUCCUGUUCAAAGGAAGCCAGGCAGAGUUGGGAAAAUAUUUUCCUAGCCAGCUCCUUAGCACUGCUGUCUGAGGGAAACCAUCUGGCCAAGAUGCCCUUCAAGCAAGCAAACGUGGCCAGAGGAAAACCACAACCGUGUGGACUGAUUCUACCCUGAAUACAAGAUGAUACAUCUCUAACGAGGCUCAGAACUGCCUGUCUACUAAUAAGAGAGGAACUCUUUUGUGAGGG